AUAUCUCAACCGCACCAUUGGGGUGUGGCUUGGAUUUGGGGGUUAUGCAGGCUCUGGCUUGUAGUCUGCUCCCCUGAAAUGCAUGAGUGGUUGAACCCUCUGUUAGGUGUGAUAAUUAUCUGCGUCUGAUGGAAAGGUCAUGGCUGCUUAUAUGUCGUCGGAUUUGAUAA
rnacentral:misc_RNA from 1 species